rnacentral:rRNA from 1 species
AAGAUGGCGACCGGCGCACGGGUGAGUAACACGUAUCCAACCUGCCGUCUACUCUUGGACAGCCUUCUGAAAGAAAGAUUAAUACCCGAUGGCAUAAUGAUUCCGCAUGGUUUCAUUAUUAAAGGAUUCCGGUAAAGGAUGGGGAUGCGUUCCAUUAGGUUGUUGGUGAGGUAACGGCUCACCAAGCCUUCGAUGGAUAGGGGUUCUGAGAGGAAGGUCCCCCACAUUGGAACUGAGACACGGUCCAAACUCCUACGGGAGGCAGCAUG